rnacentral:misc_RNA from 1 species
CUGCGCGAGCGUGAUCGCGCUUCCGCAUCCCAUGUUCAAUGGAGCCCUAAAGGUUGUGCUUCUACGAAGAUCCAAAAUUCCUUGGACCAAAAGCUUCAGCUUCCAAUAGUUGUUAAGGGCCUUGUACUGCGAACUCUGGACAAAGUUUCAUGCUGCUACAAAGUGCUCUGCAUACCUCGUGAGUGUUUAAUCAAUCUCGGUGCUGAUUUGUUAGUUGUCUUUGAGAGGGAGUUGCCGAGCUUUCUCAACAAUAGCGAUCGUGGAAGGCGUCAACCAGAUUGUGGAUGUUGA